rnacentral:rRNA from 1 species
AACGAACGCUGGCGGCAUGCCUUACACAUGCAAGUCGAACGGUAACAGGUUAAGCUGACGAGUGGCGAACGGGUGAGUAAUAUAUCGGAACGUGCCCAGUCGUGGGGGAUAACUGCUCGAAAGAGCAGCUAAUACCGCAUACGACCUGAGGGUGAAAGCGGGGGAUCGCAAGCACUCGCGCGCUUGGAGCGGCCGAUACCAGAUUAGGUAGUUGGUGGGGUAAAGGCCCCCCGAACCAACGAUCUGUAGCCGGUCUGAGCGGACGACCAGCCACACUGGGACUGAGACACGGCCCAGACUCCUACGGGAGGCAGCAGUGGGGAAUUUUGGACAAUGGGCGCAAGCCUGAUCCAGCCAUGCCGCGUGCGGGAAGAAGGCCUUCGGGUUGUAAACCGCUUUUGUCAGGGAAGAAAAGGCUUCUGCUAAUACCGGAGGCUCAUGACGGUACCUGAAGAAUAAGCACCGGCUAACUACGUGCCAGCCGCCGCAGUAA